rnacentral:misc_RNA from 1 species
CACAAUAAAAUAUGAAGGCUGUACGCGGCUGUGCUCUCGGGCCAGUUUUGCGGAGGCUGAAUUAUUUAUUACCCUUGUCUUUUGCGCACUUGUUGUUUCCUGGGCGGGUUCGCCCGCCACCAGGACCACAUCAUAAACCUUUUUUAUGCAGUUGCGAUCAGCGUCAGUAUAACAAAUGUAAAUCAUUUA